rnacentral:rRNA from 1 species
CUACGGGCGGCAGCAGUGAGGAAUAUUGGUCAAUGGGCGCAAGCCUGAACCAGCCAUCCCGCGUGAAGGAUGACGGUCCUAUGGAUUGUAAACUUCUUUUAUGUACCAAGAAUGUGCCCUACGUGUAGGGUUUUGACGGUAGUACAUGAAUAAGCAUCGGCUAACUCCGUGCCAGCAGCCGCGGUAAUACGGAGGAUGCGAGCGUUAUCCGGAUUCAUUGGGUUUAAAGGGUGCGUAGGCGGCUUCAUAAGUCAGUGGUGAAAUCCUGCGGCUCAACCGUAGAACUGCCAUUGAAACUGCGAAGCUUGAAUCUAGUUGAGGUAGGCGGAAUGAGUAGUGUAGCGGUGACAUGCUUAGAUAUUACUCAGAACACCGAUUGCGAAGGCAGCUUACUAAACUGGAAUUGACGCUGAGGCACGAAAGCGUGGGGAGCGAACAGGAUUAGAUACCCCCGUAGUC